rnacentral:lncRNA from 1 species
AAUUAAGGCAGAAUUGAAAUUGCUCUUUGAAAUAAAUGAAAACAGAGACAUAACAUAUCAAAACUUUUGGGAUGCAGCAAAAGCAGUGUUAAGAGGAAAGUUUUUAGCACUAAAUGUCUACCUCAAAAAGUUAGAAAGACCUCAAGUUAAUGAUCUAAUAUCAUACCUGUAGAAAGUAAAAAAAUAAGAACAAACUAACCCAUAUACUAGCAGAAAAGUAAAUAGCUAUAGUCAGAGCAGAACAGAAUGAAAUUGAGACGAUCCUCAGAGACUAUUAUGAACACUUCUAUGCACACAAACUAGAAAAUCUAGAGGAAGCGGAUAAGUUCCUGGAAACACACCAUCUUUUACGAUUAAAUCAGGAAGAAGUUGAAACCCGGAACAGACCAAUAUCAAGUUUUGAAAUUUAAUCAGUAAUAAAAAACCACCAAAGCCCUAGACCGGAUGGAUUCAC